rnacentral:rRNA from 1 species
CAGGCUUAACACAUGCAAGUCGAGGGGCAGCAUGGUCUUAGCUUGCUAAGGCCGAUGGCGACCGGCGCACGGGUGAGUAACACGUAUCCAACCUGCCGUCUACUCUUGGACAGCCUUCUGAAAGGAAGAUUAAUACAAGAUGGCAUCAUGAGUCCGCAUGUUCACAUGAUUAAAGGUAUUCCGGUAGACGAUGGGGAUGCGUUCCAUUAGAUAGUAGGCGGGGUAACGGCCCACCUAGUCUUCGAUGGAUAGGGGUUCUGAGAGGAAGGUCCCCCACAUUGGAACUGAGACACGGUCCAAACUCCUACGGGAGGCAGCAGUGAGGAAUAUUGGUCAAUGGGCGAGAGCCUGAACCAGCCAAGUAGCGUGAAGGAUGACUGCCCUAUGGGUUGUAAACUUCUUUUAUAAAGGAAUAAAGUCGGGUAUGGAUACCCGUUUGCAUGUACUUUAUGAAUAAGGAUCGGCUAACUCCGUGCCAGCAGCCGCGGUAAUACGGAGGAUCCGAGCGUUAUCCGGAUUUAUUGGGUUUAAAGGGAGCGUAGAUGGAUGUUUAAGUCAGUUGUGAAAGUUUGCGGCUCAACCGUAAAAUUGCAGUUGAUACUGGAUAUCUUGAGUGCAGUUGAGGCAGGCGGAAUUCGUGGUGUAGCGGUGAAAUGCUUAGAUAUCACGAAGAACUCCGAUUGCGAAGGCAGCCUGCUAAGCUGCAACUGACAUUGAGGCUCGAAAGUGUGGGUAUCAAACAGGAUUAGAUACCCCGGUAGUCCACACGGUAAACGAUGAAUACUCGCUGUUUGCGAUAUACUGCAAGCGGCCAAGCGAAAGCGUUAAGUAUUCCACCUGGGGAGUACGCCGGCAACGGUGAAACUCAAAGGAAUUGACGGGGGCCCGCACAAGCGGAGGAACAUGUGGUUUAAUUCGAUGAUACGCGAGGAACCUUACCCGGGCUUAAAUUGCAGAUGAAUUACGGUGAAAGCCGUAAGCCGCAAGGCAUCUGUGAAGGUGCUGCAUGGUUGUCGUCAGCUCGUGCCGUGAGGUGUCGGCUUAAGUGCCAUAACGAGCGCAACCCUUGUUGUCAGUUACUAACAGGUUCCGCUGAGGACUCUGACAAGACUGCCAUCGUAAGAUGUGAGGAAGGUGGGGAUGACGUCAAAUCAGCACGGCCCUUACGUCCGGGGCUACACACGUGUUACAAUGGGGGGUACAGAGGGCCGCUACCACGCGAGUGGAUGCCAAUCCCCAAAACCUCUCUCAGUUCGGACUGGAGUCUGCAACCCGACUCCACGAAGCUGGAUUCGCUAGUAAUCGCGCAUCAGCCACGGCGCGGUGAAUACGUUCCCGGGCCUUGUACACACCGCCCGUCAAGCCAUGGGAGCCGGGGGUACCUGAAGUGCGUAACCGCGAGGAGCGCCCUAGGGUAAAACUGGUGACUGGGGCUA